CAGGAUCCUUUGCGGCAGCGAUUAGCGGGAGGGGAGAGGGGCGGAGCGAUAGGCUUGGCGCUCGACGCAUGCGCGGCGACCAACCCGGAAGUCAGAGGACCUGCUGGUGUAAGGAAGGCACCUGAGGUUGUCUACCUGGCCAGGCCCCAAAGCAGGGAUGUAGGUUUCAGCGGAAGCCUCCUCCAGAUCACACCCACUCCUCCCACCCCAGGCUUGGGAGUAACAGGCACCUCGGAGGCCCCACGAGCUGCGCAUCCAUGAGCUAGGGGAAAGGAAGGGCCGCCUUCCCCCCUGC
rnacentral:lncRNA from 1 species